rnacentral:lncRNA from 1 species
GAGUGCCUUGUACUUCUCCAAUAGCUGUCUUUUAAAUCUUCCAGGGAAUGGUAGCUUUGGCUCAUAGGGAGGAGGAACAAAAGAGGAGUCCUUUGUUGGAGUAGCAGUUUCACCAUGUUUCACUGUCCUCUUCUCUUCUCCAACCUUUCCUUUACCCUUAGCUUCAACAAUCUUUUCUAGAAUCUCUUCAUCAACCUUCUCAUCUACAAUCACCACCUCAUCAUCAAUGUUGAUAGCCACCUCCCCACCUAGCUUUUCACCAUCCUUGGUGAGAAUUCUUGGAGAUAAUUGUUUACCACUCCGUAGGGUGAUUGCUUUCAAUGUUUCCUUAGGAUUUUGCUCUGGCUUUCCAGGUAACGCCCCUUGUUGGCGACUUGGCUGAGAGUUCAUUGAAGCAAAAUGAUUCUCCAAAUGGCGGAUCUUGUUGUUGAGCUCAUUGUAACUUCCAUCAAUCUUGGAGUGAAUUUUCGUGAACUCAUAACCCAUUGUCUUCUCAUUCUUGGCCUGAAAAUCCAAAAGUUUCUUGAACAUUGCAUCCACACUUGUAUCUGAAGCUGGAGCUUGGGAAGAACUUUCUUGAGCCUAAGUAGACUGAUUGUUGUUAUUGUUGAAACCAGGAGGGGUGUUUUGUCUAGGGUGAUAGCUCCCUUGCUGAGUGUUUUGCUUCUGUUGGUAUCCUCCUUGCUGGUUGUUAGAGUAGGACCUUUGCUGGUAGUUGUUGUACUGAAAGUUAGGCUCCUUCUUGUACCAAGAACCAUUGUUGUUGAUGAAGCACAGCUCCUCUUGGCCUUCCAAACCAUCAACCUCAUUGAUCUUUGGAGGAACCUCCUGAUUAGGACCACCCACAAAGUUCAUCUGCUCUUGCUUAGCUUGGUUGGAAAGAAGCAAGUCCAUCUUCUCUUGCAAGGAUUUGAUCUCUUUCUUUGUUUGUUGAUCAUCACUUCUGUUGACCCUAUCAUGCUCCUCACUGUAGACCGAGUCACUCUUAGCCAUGUUCUCUACCAGUUCCUCUGCCUCUUCCUCGGUUCUCCCCAAGAAGAAACCAUUGCUGGCAGUGUCAAGCCUGUUUCUGCACUGUGGUAGAGCUCCUCUGUAGAAGGUGCUAAGCAAACUCUCCUUGCUGAAACCAUGAUGAGGGCACUGAGACCAAUAACCCUUGAACCUUUCCCAUGCUUCACUGAAGCUCUCUAGACCUUUUUGUUGAAAUCCGGAGAUUUCGUUCCUGAUCUUAGCUGUCCUUGAAGUAGAGAAGAACUUGUCUAGGAAAGCUCUCUUGCAAUCUUNNNNNNNNNNNNNNNNNNNNNNNNNNNNNNNNNNNNNNNNNNNNNNNNNNNNNNNNNNNNNNNNNNNNNNNNNNNNNNNNNNNNNNNNNNNNNNNNNNNNNNNNNNNNNNNNNNNNNNNNNNNNNNNNNNNNNNNNNNNNNNNNNNNNNNNNNNNNNNNNNNNNNNNNNNNNNNNNNNNNNNNNNNNNNNNNNNNNNNNNNNNNNNNNNNNNNNNNNNNNNNNNNNNNNNNNNNNNNNNNNNNNNNNNNNNNNNNNNNNNNNNNNNNNNNNNNNNNNNNNNNNNNNNNNNNNNNNNNNNNNNNNNNNNNNNNNNNNNNNNNNNNNNNNNNNNNNNNNNNNNNNNNNNNNNNNNNNNNNNNNNNNNNNNNNNNNNNNNNNNNNNNNNNNNNNNNNNNNNNNNNNNNNNNNNNNNNNNNNNNNNNNNNNNNNNNNNNNNNNNNNNNNNNNNNNNNNNNNNNNNNNNNNNNNNNNNNNNNNNNNNNNNNNNNNNNNNNNNNNNNNNNNUUAAUAAUUAAUUAAUAGUUUGUUCUUUAUGCUUUGAUCUUUCAGCAUGCUCAAGACACUGGACAGGUACCAGAAGUGUAGCUACGGCUCAGUUGAAGUCAACAACAAACCUGCCAAAGAACUCGAGGUUUAUAUCUCUACCAUCACUUAAUUAACUAAUUUUAUUUGAUAUAAUAACUAACACCAAAGCUAGAGAGCUUCAGAACUAAAGAUUCUCAGACUGGAAUAAAAAUAUAUUUUUUUUAGUUAGAGAGUCCAACAUUAACGUCUCUUUGGUCUUUGCUUGGCAUUUUUUCAGAAUAGCUACAGAGAGUAUUUAAAACUGAAAGGUAGAUAUGAAAAUCUGCAACUUCAGCAGAGGUAUGUAUAUGUAUGCUCACAUAUAAACAACUUAUCUAUACAUGUUAUGUGUUUGAAUUGAUGAAAGUGUGUGUUUGCUUCAGAAAUCUACUUGGAGAGGAUCUUGGACCUUUGAACUCAAAGGAGCUAGAGCAGCUUGAGCGUCAACUAGACGGUUCUCUGAAGCAAGUUCGCUGCAUCAAGGUGAUUUCAUUACCCCAUUGUAUAUCUACAGAACAUACCUUAAUUGGUUUUGUUGCGUGAGAAAAAUGUCUGAAAAUGCUUGUUUCGUGUAUAUAGACACAGUAUAUGCUUGACCAGCUCACUGACCUCCAAGGCAAAGAGCAUAUUUUGCUUGAAGCCAAUAGAGCUUUGUCAAUUAAGGUAGGAUGCUUGUCUCUCUAGUUUCUGAUAGAAUCUCAAGACAUUUUAUACAAUCCACAUUUAUAUGCGAGUCUGAAUGUUACAAGUCUUUAACUACGUUAUGUUGUACAUUUUUUAGCUGGAAGACAUGAUCGGCAUGAGGAGUCACCAUGUAGGAGGGGCAUGGGAAGGUGGUGAUCAGCAAAAUGUUGCCUAUGGACAUCAUCAGACUCAACCUCAGGGACUAUUCCAGUCUCUUGAAUGUGAUCCCACGUUGCAAAUUGGGUAAAACCAAACAACUUCUCUUACCUUUUUACACAUUAACUUUUAGGUGGUAAACCAUUAACCGUUUGAUAAAGCCUAACACUGUAGAUUUGGUUUUAAAAACGCUUUGUUUGGUGUUAAGUUUCAGCUCUUGAUAAUGUCUAAGGAAGAAAAAUCAAUCCUGGAAAAACUUUUUUAAAAUUUGAAGGCCUUGGGUUUCAUAUUCUGUAAAAAUUAAAAAGUGUUUCUAUUGUAGAUUGUUAAACUAUGUUUUUGUGGUGAUGAGAACAGGUAUAACCAUCCAGUGUGUUCAGAGCAAAUGGCUGUAACAACCCAGGGUCAGACCCAACCAGGAAACGGCUACAUCCCUGGCUGGAUGCUGUGAGUGAUACCUCUGAUCUAGUGAUGAGAAUGAGACGGAUCUUUAAACGUUCAAGUGGUGGGUUCUUGAUGAUGAAAAUGAGAGGGAUUAUUAUAUGAAUAAGUAUGGAAUGUUAUGAAUUGUGUUUAUGUAUGCUGCAAAAGAAACUUUUAUUUGUAGACAUAAGUGGCUAUACAUAGCUGUGAUAGCCUUCAACAUCUCUCUUCUGUUGCAGGAGAUGUAUGUUCCUUUUGAAACCUUGCUUAUGUAUAAACGGAUUGUAACGUAUGAAAUGUUAACAUUAGCCAUGUCUUAUCUGGUUAACCACUUUAUCCCGUCUCUGUAUAAAACAAAACGCGAUUAUAUGCUAACAGGAACGACAUAGACAGCUUGCAAAAGAGGCAAAUAAACGCUCAAAUUACAAUGAGAUUUCAACACUUGACAAUGCCACAGAGAUCCAGCUUUUAUUUCCAAGUCUUAAAUGUACAUAGUAGAUCAUUACAGUAUCUGGAUCUUGCUCAGACAGCACAGAUAAUAAAGUACUAUGUCCUGAAAAGUAAAAUGAUACAGAGAGUUUUGCUGAAGAAUGGACUUUCUAGUUUACUACAUAUUUUCAAUUGUUUAAAUGAUACAUGAUAAAUAGCAUAUAAUCACUUCAAACAGUACUAAACUGUUCUAGAGUUUUGGGUUUGUGCUUUUUCAAUAUACUUCUUCCCCAUCAGGAUAGUCUUUAUCAAGAAACUGCUCCCUGAAACACAACAAUCCACAUUGUAAUCAGCUUUGAAUGACUUGGAUUCUUCCCAAGUUAAACCAAGUGUACUAUAUAUGUAACAGAGAAGUUUGGUCCAAAAACACUAUUACCUGAGUCUCUCACAGAGGCGGGCUAAAGCUUCGGAACCCAUCCUGAAUGCAACAUCUUGAAUCUCUGAAGCAUUCGAGAGGUUCACACUAUCUGCUAACUGAAACUCACAUAGCUCCUUCAACGAGAACGCAUCCGUUAAAACAGCUGAGUGACCACCUCCUGCUGCUAGCUUCCUCACUUGUCCCACACACCUGAAAACAACACCAGAGUUUCCCCUUAAUCUAACCGAAAUUACCACAAUGUCUGCAUGACAAACAAACUUGAUUGAGCUCAUACCAGUCUACAGGUGAAGGAUACCAAGCAUAUGAUGACUUCUCAUUAGCCGCUUGACCAUAGCUAUUGUAUCCCCAUCCACAGAUCCGUCCCUCUCUCAUAUAAACCAGAGUGUGCGAAUGUCCACAAGCAACAAGCCUGACAUCGGUAGGGAUGACUAGAACCGGGACGUUCCGCAGAAGCAUUUCGCUUCCAUUAGAGACAGAAAACAAGAAACCAGACUGAGGACCAAGGCCUAGCUGUCCCGCUUGGCCACCACCCCAAGCGUAAAGCGCUCCUUCCAGAGAUAAACCACAAGUGUGCACACCGCCACAAGCAACUUCUUUCAUGGUUACACCAUCGAGACCAGCGACUCGCCUUGGUAUCAACUCCUUGUCCCCGGACUGAAGAGAGACAUGACCGAGUUGGCCCAUGCUUCCUAGUCCCCAAGUGUAACUGCAACGAGAGAGAUAAGUGAGUAAGAUUAGCUGAAAGAUAAUUAAUCAAAAGGGAGGGAGACUUGCAUUUGCUUCCUCAAGCAUUCCCCAUCUGGUAGGAUGGUGAUGAGAUAGAUAUCUCCUUUUCCAGAACCCUUGCAGAGAAUUGGUAUGUGAAUAACCACAAAGUUUUCAAAGAGAAAAGGUGUUUUAGAAAACUUACACCUCGCCCGUUUCUGAUACAGCAGCAGUAUGGUAUUCUCCACAUGAGACUUGCGUUAUCUUCACAAGCUCGGGUGCUUCGUCAAGGAACUUCGCAUAAGAAGUUAUCACACGAGGUGCUUGUAGUCCUUCACAUGUGACUCCUCUACCAAGCUGCCCUUGUUCAUUAUAGCCUUAUUUUCACAAAACACAAAAAAUUAAAAUCAUAAAUACCAUAAUUAUACCACAAACAAGUUUAUAACAAUGUCUCAAAGCUUUCUUUACCCCAAGCUUGAAGAAGGCCAUCUUCUGAUAAGGCCACAACAUGAGCUGUCCCACAUGAAACUUGGCGAAUUGCCUAAAACAUGUUUAUACACCAAUGCUUAUUAAUCCUUGAUUCUCCACAAGGAGAGAGAGUUGAGAGUACAUACCGUGUUAGCAGGGAAUGCCCCUGAGAAUAACCGUGGCAGAUUUGAUCCCUAUCAUUCGAAGUUUUGAGAAAUCAAUAAGAGAAUGGCACAACUUUAGUUUCAGACACAUUAAAUGAGAAUAAACCUUUUGUUAUAUUACCUGGUUUUGUCCCCAAACCCAGAGUCUACUCUUUGAAAGAGUACCGUCAUUGUCACGAGGCUCCGCAAUAGCAGCAGUGCAGAAAGCUCCACAAGACACGAACUUCACAAACUCUGACUGCAACUGCUUCACUUUCUUUGGAUGUUUCCUCCCAACCUCGGUUCCAUCCCCAAGCUGACCAUACUCAUUGGCCCCUGAAACCAUUAGACAUCAAAAUGUAAGAACCACCAUGACUUGAGCAAAGUACACAUUGCCUAAGAUUCAACCACAAGAUCCAAAGACUACAGAAAGGAAAUAAAUUUGUAUCAAAUAAAAACCCCAAGGUGCGUUUAUGUGAAAAUGAGAGACAGACCCCAAGUGAAGAGAGAUCCGUCUGAUGCAACAGCGGCUGUAUGUUCCCGGCCACAGGAGAUAUCAAGCCACCGUGAAUUGGCACCAGCAGGGCAGCCAAAAAGCUCAGGAGGAAGCUGUUUUGGGAUACGCAAAAGACUCUCUUGCCCUUUCCUACCGGUUUGCCCGCUUUGAUUGUAUCCCCAGACGUAAAUGGCGCUCUUCGUUGGGAUACUCACAGGAGCAGCAACUUCGCCAAUUAUCUCUCCAAUAUCCAUUUUUGAGACAAGACUCCUGUAACAAAAUUGCAUAAAUUAUUCCAAAAAGUCUCGAAAUUUAUGCGGUUUAAUAUGCAUUAAUAAACGAACUAAACUCUGAUUAUACAGAAAUGAGCAGAAGCGAUCACGAAUCAAGCAAGUUUACGAAGACCCAUCUUAGAGCUAAUCAUGAAUUUUAAAAAGAAACGAACUUUCUCCAGUAACACGCAAAGGAGAACUUGAUUCACAACAAUUCAAAGGAAACUAAUUUAAAAAAAAAAGAAAAAUUAAUAGAAGAGAGCAUACCUCUAAGAUGAAAUGUUGAAACUUUGACAAAGAAUCGAAGUUUCUGGACGUUUUUGUGUGUUCGGUUUGGGGGAUGAUGCCUAAUGUGUGUAAUAAAACGGAGGGAAGGAGAGAACCAAUGAGGUUCGUUCGUUCAUUGUCUCCGAGACAUCGGGUUAAGGUUCUGAGAAUUGUUUUCUAUAUUAGCACCGUGAGUCCUUCAUUUUACGAAAUAUUAACACAAGUCCCUAAACUUUCAAUUGUUCUUCUUUUCCCCCAAUUCAGAAGACUGUAUAUCAGUAAUUACGAAAUAUUAACACAAGAGUCCCUAAAUAUUAACAUUGCUUCUUGUUUUGCAUUUUUUUUGUGGCCAUGUUUCAUGGAGUUAGCAUAAAGCUUAAAAUGUUGCAGAGGUACAUUUUCACCCUUCCUGCUUCAUAUAUUUAACAUUGUAAAAUGACAAUAUUCACAAAAACCAACAAGCCAAAUUUACACAACAUCCCCUCUGCAUUGCCUUGCCAUCUUCUCCAGUUUCAGUUCAGAUACAGAGGACACACAGAUAGAUGAUCGAUGAUUGAUGUUCACGGUGUUUCAUUGAAUUCCAUCACCUGCACACAAGGACAUUGGAAAACAAAAUGGGACCUCUUUAUAAGGAGACUUCUCUGUAUGACUGUAUCUAUCACACAUAUUCCUCAGACAGAUAAAACCAGAAGCAACCAUGAAAGGAGCAUAAGCUUCUAAUCUCACCGACCAUGCAAUUUCAAAAGCAUAUAUGUUCUGAGAGAGAGAGAGAGGUUACCUUGCCGCAGACAGGACAGUUUUCACUUCUCUCCAUCCAUUCAUAAAUGCAACCAAGGUGGAAAUGGUGAGAGCAUUUUGUUACAAUCUUUGGGUUCUCUGAUGUAUAUUCUGCCAAAGCCAAACAAGACAUGAUAAAUGUUGAAGCCCGAAGCAACAAAGAAAGGAAAAACAACGAAACAAAAAUAACCUUCAAGACAAGUUGGACAUGCAUCUUCAUCUUCAGACAAAGGAAAAUCCCAUAUGUUUCCAGACGCUGACUUUGAUUUCAUAAUCCUAAGACUGGAUUUACUAGAGUACUCUUCUUUGGGAUCUUUCUCAGAGAUAACCGAUUUGUUGUUUGCCCAUUUGCAUCCGAAAGAUUCGGAAUCAGCAUCGCUAUCACUUCUCAGAGGCUCAGCUUCCUCGUGGGAGUGACUUGAACCCUUCUCACGCCUCGAGACGAGUGAACGGAAGUGCCUAGGAUCAGCAUCGUAAGGCAGAGGCCUUGGAGUAGAACGGAAGGCUUCAGAGAGAAAGUUAUCGUGUGAAGAAGAGGAAGUUAUCGAUGGAGUGGUAGCUUGAACGGAAGAUGGCAGAGCGCGUAUUUCUCCUCUUCCGAACACCGAGCUAUACUGCAAGUAUUCAAUAUGGGAUAAACUCGUGAGAGUAAACAUAUGAAAGCUAUGAGCUGAUAAAAAAGCAAUGCGAGUGAGAACGUACCAGGUUAAGGAAGUUACGAGCAAGGCAUCUUAUGCAGGGACAGUUCCUAUAUACGGAGCUAUUUGGAUUCAUGUACUCAUCAAUGUCUUGGACUCGAAAGCAAGACGAAACACAUCCCAUCUUCUCCUCCUCCUCCUCUCUAUUUUCCUUACCCUCAAAAACAAAGAUUGAAAGCUUCUAUCUAAAGAAGUCUCGUUCACCAAACCAUACGGUAAACAGUCUGCUUCAUAUCUCCAAGUUGCCUGCAAUGAUAAAAUGGGGUUUGAUUCCUUAAUGAUGUGAUCAAGCACAUUUAACUAAACCCAUCUCAGUAAAACUUUAGUUUAGUUUGGAUCUGAACUUCAAACAACUCACAGAACUAACUUUAAAGUGUAAUGCAAAGCACAUAAACUGAUAAAACCCUAUUUUAGGUAAAUCUCCAAAAGCGAAAAGAUAAAAACUUUGCUAUAAUAGAGAAACAGACAAAGCCCAAUUGAGAUAAGAUACAUAGAGAAGAUGAAAACCCCAAUAUUGAUUGCACUGAGCAAAGCAAACAGAGUGAAUCACCGACAAAAAUCAGCGAAAUUUGAUCAGAGAAUUGAUAUCAGAAACGAUCGGAGUCGAAUUAUCACAACCCAUUUCCACUAAUUAUUGAAAUGAUCGCAAAAUUGUGAAGAAAGAGCAAACCUUUUUGAUCGAGGAUUGAGCUGGACGGAGAGAAGAAGCAAAUCACCCCCAAAUCCAAUUCAACCUUUUGAUCGGGGCUCAGCGUAAAGAGAGAGCGAUGAAAACAGAUAACCGACGAAAGAGAGAGAGAGAGAACCAAUAAGAAAGAUUUAAAAAUUUAAAUAUUAAUUAAAUACUGAGACUCAUUAAUUAAUUUUUUUAUUUCGCAAUUUCCCAGGAAAUUCAAAAAGUGGGAGACACUGGAGAUGAUGGGCGAUGAUGAAUGAUGCUUGUUGUUGUGAAAGUGGGUGAGAGAGCUUUGUUGAAUGCCUAUGGAAGCUUCAAUAAUAAAACAAAAAAUACGACUCCAUUAAUUAAAUAACACUGUGUUUAAAUUAAUGAUAAUCAAAGGACUUAAUAAACUAUAUAAAUAUGAUUAGAUUAUGUGUUAAAGUUCCAAGGUAUUUGACCUUUUCGGGUUUAGACAUUUUGGUUUCCAAAGCCUUUUUAGCUUCAUAUAAGGAUCAAACAGGCCUCAUAUGAGCCCAGAUACGUCGGCUUCGUUACACAUGCCCAAUUAAAAAGUUUAUUAUACUGGAAAUUACUAAUUAGAAAUUAGUCAUAAUUUAUAAAGUUUUAUUUCCCAAAAACGAAUAAUAACUAUACUUAUCGACCGAAUUAGAUUUUAACUAAAGUAUUAAUCAAUAAUAAUAUUUUUCCUGUAAAUAAUAAGAAAUGAUUACGAAGAAGGAGCAUCGUCUUCUCUACAUAGUCCUCUCACACCGCCUUUGAUUCUUAACUUAUAAACCCUUUCUUCCUUCCCCUUUUGUGUAAUCUCUCUAGAAACCUUUUUUCCUCAUCGUCUCUCACUUUCCUUAUUUCGCCUCGCCAGAGAUGGCAGAUGACUUGGCGAAUCUCUGCCGAUUUCUCUUCGACGAGACCGGCCUCACCUCGUCGACGUCGUCGUCAGAUCUCUUUUCUCAACGCAUACGCUCCGAUGAUUCGAUCAAACGCGGCCUCCGUUACUUCUAUAUACUCCUCCGCUCCGGAAUCGCUCCGAUCGGCGCAGAUGGUGACUCCUCCUCCGUCAAGCUGCGGUUCGAGACCUGGUCAGAUUCGCAGCUUCAAGCUCUCGUUUCGAUAUCUCAGGCGAUCCUUCUACUGUCGCGAUCUCUAUUAGGUAACUGAAUAGCUUUGAAUCGAAUCGAGAUUUACUUGCCGAUUUGUUGAUUAUAACUGUUUUUUGUGUGUGUGUGUCUCAGAGAGAGAGAGAGAGAGAGAGAGAGAGAGAGAGAGAGUUACCUUUUUGUAGCUUUAAAGUUAAAAAUUGAAGGAGAAGUGUGUUUGAUAAUCGAAACGAUUUGGUUCUGGACUAGUUUGAGCUUUAUAAUUUGGGCCACUAGUUAUUGCCCAUUAGAAUAUGACGAGUCCCAGGCCUUUUAGUUCGUUCGGACCGCACGUGUGGGCACGAUGAGGGUUUACGGACACUAUGUAGAAGUACAAGGUUCAAUUUAUAAAUUUAAUAAACGUUGGGAAGAAUUAAGCUAUUUCGAUAAAGUCAAAGUGGGCCAACACAUUACAGCGCAACUGAGUGUGAAAGGUUUGGGCAUGCAUUAGUUCAGUUGACUUGUUCCACUUCAGGACAAGUUUAAGUUCAAAAAAACCACUCCGGCGAAUCUUCUCCCGUCUACAUUGGCGUGGAUCGCCAGUUUAUCGGACGGGGAAUCAAAAUGGCGGUGGAUGCUGCGUAUCUGAUGCAGUUUGUGGACGAAACCUCGUUUUACAAUCGCAUUGUUCUGAGUCACCUCUUGCCGUCGAAUCUGUGGGAUCCAUUACCGCAUUUUCUCCAGACAUGGCUCCGGAACUACCUCGCCGGAACCUUGCUCUACUUCAUCUCAGGCUUUCUCUGGUGCUUCUACAUCUAUUACCUUAAACUUAACGUUUAUCUCCCCAGAGGUGAUUUUUAGAACUUCUUUAAUUAGUUUCAUGUGGUGAUCUCGAUCUUGGAGUUUAGUGUUCGAUCCUGCCAUGGUCUGAUUGGUUCAUGUCAAUUUUUCAGAAAAAGAGAAAUCUUUUUUUCUCAUAAUGUACCUUAGUUGGACUCUAGCAUCUGAAUGAUGAAUGUAACUUUGAUUUUGACUUUCCAUAGGUUUGGUUUGGUAGUUCAAAUUAUGUGUCAUGAUAAUAACCUCAACAGCUAAUGUUCAGUUUGUCUUUGUCUGAAUAACUAGAUUUUUUUUAAAACUAAUUUGUCAUAAGUUACCUUGAAACUGAUGAACUAUGUGUAUCAUACUUCUUUAAGCCUAAUUCUGAUGAUGUCUCUUGGUGAGAUUUAUGAUAGAGGAGACUCUUUAGCUUUGUGCUUGCGUUAUAUACGUUUGGUUACAACACUACCUCCAAAUACACUGGUAGUUGCAGUGAUUGUUUACUUUGAAUCUUGGCUUCAUUUGAUAUUAGGAACAGAGAUGUGUUGUGCUUGUUUUAUGAAUCGUUUUUGAUAAGGAUAUAGCAGAAAUUUCUGUAAAAUUUGUAGUUAUUCCUUUCAAUCUUCUAAAACAGCUAGUGCUUUUUUUUGUUUGUUUAUAAUCUCUCUUUCCUUUUUAAUUUACUUUGUGAUCAGAUGCUAUUCCUACAAGAAAGGCAAUGCUUUUACAAAUUUCUGUGGCAAUGAAGGCGAUGCCUUGGUACACUCUUCUUCCAACCGUCUCCGAGCACAUGAUCGAAAGUGGUUGGACCAAAUGUUACUCCAGAAUAGGCGAAGUCAGCUGGUUCCUCUACUUUGUUUCCAUCGCUGUCUACCUUGUUCUAGUCGAGUUUGGUAUUUACUGGAUGCACAGAGAGCUUCAUGACAUUAAGCCUCUUUACAAAUAUCUCCACGCCACCCAUCAUAUCUACAACAAGCAGAACACACUCUCUCCCUUUGCCGGUAAAGUAUAUAUUUUAAUUUCUUAAUACUUUAGUCAUGUCAAAGAUUGGUAGCAUCCAGAUUCUUACCAGUUUUUGGUUUUGUUUCAGGGCUUGCGUUUCACCCACUAGACGGGAUACUGCAGGCAGUACCGCACGUGGUAGCUCUGUUUAUAGUGCCGAUUCAUUUCACAACACAUCUAGGUCUCUUGUUCAUGGAAGCGAUAUGGACAGCGAACAUCCAUGACUGCAUCCACGGUAACAUUUGGCCUGUGAUGGGUGCAGGGUACCAUACGAUACACCACACUACUUACAAGCAUAACUAUGGUCAUUAUACUAUAUGGAUGGAUUGGAUGUUUGGCUCUCUUAGAGACCCUCUCUUACAAGAAGAUGACAACAAAGCUGAGUGAGAAUGUCCGUUUGUGUUUUUGCUUGCUUGUUCAAAGUUUCAACCUUUUUACUUAUUCGUCAUGUGAGUGUCUCUGACAAACUUUCCAGUUAUUUUUGGUUUAGAGACAAUGACUGCACAUUUGGUGUUUAGUUUACAUUCAGAGACAGCUCUUCAUUCUUUACACUUGUAAGGUUAGGUAAGGUUGGUGAAGAUAUAAGAAAGAUCUUUUUUUAAUCAACAAACAAGAAAAGCACCAAAAGAGAAUAAAAAGAAGAAAAAGGAAACAUUCAAAAAUUCAAACAAAAACACAACAGCUGAAGAAAAUUAAAGGGCUAAACUUGACAUAAUUGGAACCCAAUCAGUGACCUAAACAGUAUACAUACAAAUGUAUUCAUUCAUCAUCAAUGCAUCAAAACGCGUGCUUUCUCUGUUUCAUCCGCCAUGGAACUAUAUAGAUAGGGGAUUACACCUUUGCCACUAACCCACGUUUUCUUCAUCAGCAUCAAAGCAACGAAUCGAUCAGCGUCAGGUAAAAACUCCUCCUUUUUUUUAACAGAAGACGAACAGAGUCAGGUAAAUUUUGUUCUCCAGUUUCAGUUUUAAAAAAUCUUUCUUUUGCAUCAUAUCCAUGGAGGGGGAAUAAAGGUUGUUCCUUUCACAUGUGUUUUUGUUUUUGUUGUUGUGUAGACAUAUAUAAGUAUUUAUUUUUCUCCCACUUGUGUAGAUUAGAUUGUCCCCACAGAGUCACUGUGUAUGGCUCCUUCAAUUACUGCCAGUUCCUGUCUUCUUUUUUUUCUUCCUCCAGCGAGAUCUUCUUUUUUUUUUAUUUUUCCUCUUCUUCUUCUUCAGCUAACUACUUUCUGGGGCUUUUUAAACUCCUUCUACGAUGCCUUUUCCUCGUUUUCUGAAUUUUGGGGGGCUUUUUAAGGUUUGUUGUUUCUUGCCAAUGAUUUUUGGGAAAAGUUUUUAAAUUGGAGUAUCUCACUUCAAAUUGAUGCCUUCCUUCAAAUGUUAUAUCUCGUUAUAGAUUGUUAGGUUUGCAAGAGUCUCAAUUAAACUUUCUAAUUUGCAAUAGUACUAUCAAGUGAGUGAGUGAGUGACUCUUAUUUUUCAGAUUCGUUUUUGGUGAUGACAAUCUACUUUAACCAUGGUUUUGUUUAAUCACUUGGCCUCAAGUUAUAAAUGAUUCCUCUCUCUCUCUCUCAUAUUUUCUCUUGUGGUUCUGUUUUUAGAGUUGUUUGUAGAUAAGUGAUAUCAUUUGGUGGAUACUUUAGUUUCCAGCUUGAACAUGGGGAUUGUUAUUGUAGUAAGUGGUCAACGUAGAAGAAUUGAUUUUUUUUGGCUGAUCAGAAGAAAACCAAUUAGUUAUGGUGGCAAUGACUGAUUUAGCAAUUGAUGCAGGCUUGUUUAGUGAUGAGUUAGGUUGAUUUUUAGACAUUCAUCACAGUAUUGAGUACCGUUCGUAACUGCAUGUGUGUAGCAUAUACCAGUUAACAAUAUAAACUGACUCUCCAACCAAGUCCUCUUCUAGCAUGUAGAUAUUAUUGUUUCUGUUGAGUUAAAGUGCACAUGCUCAGGAAAGUGUAGGAAUGUUUCUUGAAUUUUUGGGGUGUUUUUCUUUGUCUUUCCCUUGCAAAACUUUUUACCGGGAAGAGUUUGUGAUUCCUGGGAUGAUCUUAGGCUGUCACAAACCGGGGACCCGAGGUUUCAGGAACUGCUGAUAAUUGGGUCUCACCAUCUGACAUUCCACUCAUAGAACCUUAUAGUAAAGAGGUACCUCUUAUUGUAUUUGUCUCUUGGUCUUGUCCAUGUCAAACGUCCUUGUUGGUGAAUUUAAUUCAAGACAACACUUGUUUACGUAGCUCAGUUGUGGUAGACCGCUUAAUUUUAUGCUACAAGUAGCUUUUCUAUUGAGUCCAUGUUGCUAUUUUUACACAACACACGUAUCUUUAUUGCUUACAUUGUUUGUUAUCCAAGCAGAUUAUGCUAUUAAUGUCAUAUUUUUAUGUCUCUGAGCAGCACAAGAUGAGGGAAGCACAACUAGGCGCGCACACGGUGAGGUCCCACGGAAUGACUCUUGCAAGGACUCACAUGCACGACUGGAUCAUACUCGUACUACUCGUUAUACUCGAGUGCAUACUCCUUAUAAUCCACCCGUUUUAUCGCUUUGUCAGUAAAGAUAUGAUGACUGAUCUUAGCUUCCCUCUAAAGAGUAACACCGUACCAAUCUGGACUGUCCCGGUAAUUAACCUUCCAUGAACUCAAGUUCUGACAUGUUUCACAAUUAAAACCAUUUAUUUCUUCUAAAAUGACAGAUCUAUGCAAUGCUGUUGCCAUUGGUGAUCUUCAUAGCUAUCUACUUCCGUAGAAGAGACGUAUACGAUCUUCACCACGCGGUGCUAGGUCUGUUAUACUCUGUUCUGGUGACGGCGGUGCUUACGGAUUCGAUAAAGAACGCAGUUGGUAGACCACGCCCUGACUUCUUCUGGCGUUGUUUUCCUGAUGGCAAAGCUGUAAGUGUUUUUACUAUUGUGUGUGUUUUUUAGUUCAUGUUCUGUCUCUUGAGUUUUGUUUUUUUGUUUUUGCUUCUCAGGUUUACGAUAGCCUUGGAGAUGUGAUAUGUCAUGGUGAUAAAAGUGUCAUAAGGGAAGGGCACAAAAGCUUCCCAAGCGGACACACCUCUUGUAAGACAACACAAAGCCUAAUGUUUAUUAUUUAUUUUUUUCUUGAGAAAUUUUUGACAAAAGAUUGUUUGUUUUUUUUGGCUUUUGUUAGGGUCUUUUGCGGGUCUAGGAUUCUUGUCGCUGUAUUUAUCAGGGAAGAUUCAAGCGUUUGAUGGUAAAGGCCACGUUGCGAAGCUAUGCAUUGUCAUACUCCCUUUGCUAGUUGCAGCUCUUGUCGGUAUUUCCCGUGUAGAUGACUAUUGGCAUCACUGGCAAGACGUCUUUGCUGGAGGCUUGCUAGGUUUGCUUGUUUUCACUCUCUACACAUACUUGUUUCCCUUUAAACAUCAUAGAAACUUAUACCAUCGUCUACAGGUCUCGUGGUGUCUACGUUCUGUUAUCUUCAAUUCUUUCCACCACCUUAUCACACCGAAGGUAAACAAAAAGAAUUGAGGAUUCAAUUUACAGGCUGCUUGUGAAUUUAUGAUGAAAUUUUUUGAUAUGUUUUUGAAGCGUGGGGGCCAUAUGCUUACUUCCAAGUGUUGGAGGCGGCAAGAGCGCAAGCGCAAGCAGCAGAGAAUGGAGUGGCUCAGGGAGGUAACGGUGAAGAGGAAGACGGAGGGUUUAUGGGUUUACAUUUGGUGGAUAAUCCGAGUAUGAGGAGAGAAGAUGAAGAUGUAGAAGCUGGUAGAGUGCCUAGAGGCUGAGAUGUGAAGAGCCCCUGAAGCUGGUUUGGUCACUGCUUAGGACACUUUCUCUUGUUCUGUUCUGUAGAUUCUUUGUUUGGUUUGGUUUGGUUCUAACUGGUUAGACCCCGGUUUAUUAAAUAAUGUUUAUUGAUUUUCUCUUGCUCUGUUGGGAUUAAUUAAGCCGUUAUAUGUUGACUCGGAUCCUAAUCAAAGUUCAAUACUCAAAACGUUCAAAGAUAUAUUUACAUCGAAAUGAUGUUUAUUAAUACAAAACGUUUCCUACAAAACAAAGAAAUAAAAUGUAGUUGUUUUUUUAAGAAAAAUUAACAAGAAAUGUUAUUAUAUUGAUAAUCUCUAAUAAAAUAUUGCAUUAUAUGUUUUUUUUUUUAGAAACAUCCUUGCAAUUAGUUUUGUAACGUUUGAUUUUCAGAGUUAUUGGCAUGUACAUAUUCAACACUUCGUGGCAAGUAAACAUGAAUAAGCCAACUUUCUUAAUCAACCCGAUUUGUUUGUUUAUAAACGGCACGGCAUGCAUGCGUUACAGAACUUUAUUUAUGCCUGAAACGAUCAGGUUAAGAGUAUCUUAAUUCUUAACCCAAUCACAAUCCAUGCGUUUUUUUGUUUAUUGUAACAAUAAAUUAUUGUGCCUGCAUUUAAAUAGUAACGUGCAUGCAUUUGUAUAUGCCUAAUUAUUUUUAAUUAUGAUUAACUUUAUUAUUGAUUGUACGAAAGUGAUACUAAAUGAAACAUUUAAACGUGAAUGCAAGCGAAAAUAAAUGAUAUUUCACGUGAUUUGUUUUUAUCUUUGCAUUAGUUUUCACUUAGUUAUAAAAUUGCAUUGCUUUUAUAGUCAUCGAGUUAACGGUAAAUGCUCUAUUUGAAACAUCAAUAGAGACCUUAAUAACUUAAGCACUAAAAUGCAUUAUAACAGUAAUUUUUUAACUUUGAAAAGUGCAAGAAAUCUCAUAUCAUUAAUGUCGAUUUUACUUGAUAUACAUUAUUUACAGCGGCAAUAUUGUACUGAUAAACUUCUUAUUGAAUUACAAUUACAAGCAAAAGAAAUUGUCGGUUACGGUUAAUUAAUUAUAUAAAUAUAUAUUUAUUUAGACAGCCCAUGUUCAUAAUUUCUUUAAUAAUAAAAGACUGUUGGCAUGUCACACAUUGUUGUGUAUUAUUAAGCAAAUAACCAGUGACAUAAUUUUCAUAAUUAUUAGAUAAUAAUACUUACUAAUAGUUACUAUUAUAUCUAAGGAUGCCAUGUUUAACACAUCUUUUGUCAACUCUCUAUAUAUUUUAAUUUUUUUGGUAAAAUCAACUCUAUAUUUAUUUAUAAGAUAGUCUCCUCUCCUCGCAUCACACACAUGCAAAAGAGAAAGAAAAAGAGUGUAGAGAUCUAGAGAGAGAUGACUAUGACUCUUCCCUUGAAUUCGACGAAGACGACGCCAAUGAAGCAGAAUCCGGUGGUGGCGGUAUCUUCUUCGCCGUCUCUUUCCUUGGGUCCGAGUUUUCCUCGCCGUCUUCGAGUUUCAUGCGUUGCCACUAGCCCUAGGUAUGUUUUUUCAGAUCUUUACUUCUUUUCAAUGGUUAGUUUGGUGUGGUAUAUGUUUGACUCAUUGGAUUUUUUUUUCAAAAAAUGGGAUGAAAGAUCGAUGCUUAGUAAUUCUAUGAAUGAUAUGUAUAUAUAUUGUCUACUUGGCUAUUAAUAAUUAAAUAAACAAAAUUUUGGCAUUUCAUGUAAUAUUUAAAUUCAAGAGAUAGCUAUAAAUAUUAAAACUAUACCUCAAAAUAAGUUUUUCCAUAAACCCUCUUUGCAUGUAUUAGAAAUCUUACCGAGAAAUAGCAUGCAUGUAGUUUGGUGAAGUCAUUGUAUUCCGAGAAAUCGCAUGCAUGCAGUUUGGUAAGUCGGGGUUGAGUUUUUUUAUGAUUGGAUAUUAAAUGCUCGCAAACGAAUAUAUGAGCUGUAAUAUAUAGGACACAAGACCUGAUCAAAAUAUAACAAUGUUGUAACGAUUUAAAAUGUUAUAGAAAAACAAGUGAACAAACACACAAGAAGACGUUUCGACCCAUCAAAGAAGUACCAAACCAAAUAACCCACACAAUAACACAAGAGAAGCUUGAGAUCUUCAAAUCAAUGGAGAAUUGGGCACAAGAAAACUUACUGUCUUACCUCAAACCCGUCGAAACUUCAUGGCAACCACAAGACCUUUUGCCUCAGACCAAUGACGAAGACCAAUUCUACGAGCAAGUGAAAGAGCUAAGAGAUCGAACAAGAGAGAUUCCCGACGAUUACUUUGUAGUUCUUGUCGGAGAUAUGAUCACCGAAGAAGCAUUGCCAACUUAUCAAACGACUUUGAAUACACUCGACGGUGUCAAGGAUGAGACCGGCGGGAGUUUGACGCCGUGGGCGGUUUGGGUUAGAGCGUGGACGGCAGAGGAAAACCGACACGGUGAUUUGUUGAAUAAGUAUCUCUAUCUAUCUGGUCGUGUUGAUAUGCAACAUGUUGAAAGAACUAUUCAAUAUCUAAUCGGAUCUGGCAUGGUACGUUUUGAUCUCAUACUAUAUCUUUAUGCAUGGUCUUUUUAUCAAAAUGAAAAUGAUAGUGUUUCUUUUCUAGUCAGAAUCGGUUUCGGUUACAUACAGUGUUUUGGAAGCCAGACAGGUUGGACCGUUACUUGCUUUUCUAACCGGUUCCAAAUUGUGCUAAAACCGAAUUUAGUUAAACCGGCAAACUUGAACAAAAACCAAUCAAAACUCGUUAAAGCAGUGACUCAUUCAAUGUUAUAACCAGGUUAUCAAAAAUUCAAGUUAAAACUUUUUAAAAUUUCAAUUUUAAAAAAAAUCAUAAAAAUUUCAUAUUUUUUAUAUAUACCUAAAUAGAUUAAUUUUCAUUAUAUUUUAUAUUGUUUUGAAGUUUUUAUUUUAUUUUCAUAUUAUUUUUAGAUUCUUGCAAUGAUAUAAAGUUUUAUAAAAAUAAUUUUAUAUUUAUACGUAUAUAAAUAGUUACUUAACUUCAAAUUAAAUUAAAAUUUAAAAUCCGGUUUGACCGAAAUCCGGUUUGACCGACCAUUCUACAAUGCUGAAUCAAUAUCUAGUCCGGUUUAUUUCCACACGGUUUAAGUUCGGCUGGGAUGUGGGCAUAGUCGAAUUUUGCGAUCACAUAACUAUGAGCCCAAAAUGUAAAUUAUACUUUUAUGUGUCACACGCGCGUGUCCUUCGGUUUCCCACCUUCUCUUUGCUGAUGAUAGCCUUUUCUUCUGUAAGGCGGAGCCCCGUGAAUGUGAAGAAGUGAUGAAAGUAGUCAGGAAGUACGGCAAAGCAUCAGGUCAAUGUAUCAAUUUCAACAAAUCGUCAUUACUCUUUGGUAAGCGGAUUAACGCAACGAUUAGACAAGAGAUUAAAGAUUCACUUGGAAUACAAAAUGAAGGAGGAAUGGGAACCUACUUAGGUAUCCCGGAAGACAUAAGUGGUUCAAAAUGUAGACUUUUUGCUUUUCUCAAGGAGAAGUUGAUGCACAGAGUGAAUGGAUGGACAGGAAGAUGGCUGUCGAAAGGAGGGAAGGAAGUGUUGAUUAAGUCAAUUCUACUAUCUCUUCCGACCUACGUUAUGUCUACUUUCCUGCUCCCAUUGGAGAUAUGUGAAAAUUUAGCAAGUGCUAUCGCUAAAUUCUGGUGGAGUUCAAAUCCGCCAAAAAGAGGGAUACACUGGGCGAAAUGGGAAAAGGUCUGCCGAUCAAGAGAAGAGGGAGGAAUUGGGUUUCGGUUGAUCCACGAAUUCAAUUUGGCUCUACUGGCAAAGCAGCUAUGGAGGCUAGUUCAAUUCCCAGACUCUCUGGUAGCCCGGGUCUUGAGGGGAAGAUACUAUAGAUUGAGUUCUCCACUAAGAGUAGAAUCUGCCAACAGUCCAUCAUAUGUGUGGACUAGUAUCUCUGCUGCAAGGAAGCUGUUACUACUGGGAAUACGACAUAAAGUACAUUCAGGUUAUGGAGUUAAGGUGUGGGAGGAUCCGUGGAUUCCAACGACGCCGGCGAGACCAGCGGUCCCUGUAGCGCCAGUUAUGCACCCUAAUAUGCGUGUUAGUGAUUUCGUUAAUCAGGUUACAAAGGAGUGGGAUGUUCAUCUACUGGAACAAUAUGUCAAUCUUGAUGACAUACCGCUCAUAAGGAGUCUGGCCAUAAGCUCGACUCAUCGUCGUGAUACUUUCUGCUGGAACUACACGAAGAAUGGCCAAUACACGGUAAAAUCUGGAUACUGGGUGGCUCAGAAUCUUUUAAAGACAGUGGAGGAACAUGAAAUUCUGGAGCCGGGCAUCACUAAGCUCCAAGCCUUUGCUUGGAAGCUAAAGGCGCCGCAAAAAAUAUGCCAUCUUAUAUGGCAAUUGGUAACGGGUCAUGUAGCAGUAACAAGGAACCUAGCAAGGCGCAAUAUGAGGUGUGAUAACUAUUGCCCUAGGUGUGGUGAGCCAGAAGAAUCUGUAACCCAUGCCAUAUUUGAAUGUCCGCCAGCGCUGCAAGUUUGGUCCUUAUCAUCGACUCCUACAUGUCCAGAUAUUUUUCCGGUAUCAAGCGUGUAUACAAAUAUGGAUUAUCUAUUCUGGAGGAAGAACAGUAUUAUCGCGCCAGAAUUAGAUAGAGAUCCUUAUCCCUGGAUUAUCUGGUAUAUCUGGAAGGCUAGGAAUGAAAAACUAUUCAGGGGGAUUGAUAGAGAUCCUUUGGAGAUAGUUCGACAUGCAGAAAGCGAAUGUCAUGCCUGGUUUGAUGCGAACGAUGUGGUGCAAACAGUGGCACAAGAGAGUGAUAAUGUGGUGCCCCAAGUCAUAAGCUUGGGUAAUAUCUGUCUGUUAGAUGGAUCUUGGACAUCAUCAGCUCGCUUUAGCGGAUGUGGCUGGGCUUGGAUGGACAGUAGGGGAAGCACGCAACUUAUGGGGACAAAGAAUAUCUGUCGACGAGAAUCAGCUUUGCACUCGGAGGUAGAAGCACUGCGUUGGGCAAUGGAGAAUAUGCUUCAACAUUCAACAUGUCAGACUUUUGGGACAGACUGCAAGGAGCUGAUUGCAAUGUUAAAGGAUCCGCAGGCUUGGCCAAGCUUUGCGACAGAAUUGGAGAAGAUAGAGACGCUUCUGAUAUGCUUUCCAGAUUUCGACAUCAUUCAUGUUCCACGAGCACACAAUCAGCUAUCAGACUUUUUAGCGAAAACUGCUAGAUCCUUCCAUAGGGAGUUAUUUUUUAUUGGUUGUUCUAUUCCGGUCUGGUUACCUAGACCACCUCAAGCUUGAGUAAUAGAAUGGCCGUUUGACGUCAAAAAAAAAAAACUGUAAUUUUAUUGAACUUAUAAUAAACUGUGAGAGAAAGGAGAUAAAUAAAUUUUAGUGUAACGAAAAGUGUUAUUGACAAUACAUGAAAGUUAUAUUAAAAAUUUCGUUGCAUUCAUACAUUUGCAUUAAAUUUUGUAUGAAUAAUAUAUAGCAGUUAGUCUCAAAAAAGAUAUUAAAUGUCAGUUAAUUAUGUUUUUCUCUAGUAAGGGAGCCAGGAAAUGGAAAGUCGUACAACGAUAGUCUCUCUUUCGCAAAAUAAUGUUAGUACCAAACCAUCAAAAAAUCUGAAUGAUGCAAUAAAUAUGCAAUGCUGAAAGAAUAUACUUCUUAAAUUAUAACGAAUCAAGAUCCGAGUAUAAAAAAAUGUAGACUUAGUAGACAUUGUUUGAACUGAAAAAGAAAUUUUGGUGCGAUUAGUAAGACUUGGUAGAAAGGACAGUUGUUCUUGAGCUUCUACAAUAUUUUGUUUGCUACCAAAUUGUGGGAUUUGAUAUGUUCUGAGACGUCCUGCAAAAUAUACAACAAAGAGAUUAGUAAAGUAAACCCUUUGCGAAUAGUCCGACUAAUACAUUAAUAGUUUUGUCAAAUUAUAUAACCGAGUACAAUAUUCUUAAGUAUAUUUAUGCUUAUACACUUACAGUUAUGAGAUGAUCAUAGCUUCAUUGCACCAUCUCCUUCUCGAAACACACGGAAUAAGCUCCACUGUUAAAAAAAAAUGAAGAAGGUUCAACACAGUAGACAACUAAAGUGUGGUUUACAGCCGUCUUGUAAAGACUAUAUAUAUAAUAUGUUUUCCGUUUGUGAUCUCAGGAGAGGCUACGAGGGGUUUGAAGAGUAGAGAUUCAUCUUUGGUGCCAAGGAAGAAGAAUCCUUCUGUUCUCCCAUGGGUGGUGGCUGGUUAUACAGUUAGCUUUGUUCGGAGUAAUGCUUCGUAUAUCUUCUUUUUCAUUACUUACAAUACAUACUUGUGAUUGCUUCUUUUUCCAUACCUCAGGUAGGAUGAAUUUACGUCGACGCCAGCGGAUGUUGGAUAAACAGAUAGAAUCAAACAAUUUGCUACGUGAACAGGUAAUUGUUUUUGUCCUUUAUCUUUUUCGUUGUUUUGAGAGAAACUAUUGGAGUUUGGUUAUCUAUUUUCUCUGUAGUCUAGAUAAGUUUGUAACUUAGGAGUCAAGUUUAGAGCGUAGAUACUCCUUCAGUCUCUCUGUUCGAGUUAAUAUAUGUGUGAGAUCUUCAUUCAUAUCACGCUAUCAAUACACAGAAAUUUCCAGAGUCUCUCUGUUUCUCUUUAGAAAAACCACAAACGAUACUUGCAUAUAUUCUUACAUCUGUGUGUGUUUUUUUUCUUCAGGUGAUGAAGGCGGAUUCACUCUAAUUCUAUGCGGGGAUUCUCUAAUGAAAUAAGAUCUUGCGAGCAGUAUGUGUUUUGGAUGCUCAUUGUCAAACCUUAUGUGUUUUUUUUUUUCUUUUUAAUGGGUUUGUAUUUUCAACAACUGAUUUGUCUAUUUUCAACAACUGAUUUGUCUUUUCAGUGCCGGUCAUCAAUAAACCUUGUCUUUGGUACUUUUUUUCUCUCUCUUCUUCGCCAUUUUAAUCAUGCUACAAAACUUGAGAACAAGAACAAGAAAAGCACACAAUUGCUUCAGGUUCGACAUUACAAGGAAAACGCCAUAAUAGCAUAAUAAUAGUCUCCCAUAUAUUAUAAAAACCAAAUUCAUACAAAGCACGAUAAACACAACACACUUGCUUGACAAGGAGAUUACCUCUACUUCUCAAGACCUUAUUCAUAUUAUAUUAAGAAGCAAAAACAGAAAAGCUCAAAAGUAGUUUUGGAUAAUAAAAGUUCUGCUAGAUUCCCUCGUCCUUCUCGUCCUCGCUGCUGCAACUACUAUUGUUGCUGCUCCACUCACACUUCAACGUAGACCUAGGCGACCCACAGUACUUGCCUAGCUUCUCAAACGUCUGAUACAUCACCAUUCCACUCUCUUCUCCCAAAGACUCAAACGUCCUCUCUCUGCAUCCAUAAUCAUCCAAGUCCACACUGAUCUCAGGCUUGUACGCGUUCACCCCAACGCUCGAGUGCACCGCCACAGAGAAUUGCUUCGGCUCAAAGCAAGACAGGACCCUCGUCACCAGCUGGCUCAGGUCCAUAGUGUUGAAGUCAUAACCCACAGCUUCGAAGCUAGCGUAGCUAAACCCAUCCUCGGGGGUCACGUGGAUAGUGGAGAUCGCAUCUCCUUCGAUGGAGUUCAUAGAGUAGCCACACGGCUCGAACUCAAAGUCGCAGAUAUGGGACUUAGGGAGGAUCUUUCUGAUUCCAGAGUUGUCGGUCAUUGUUCCCGUCUCGGGGACUUGGGGAGGAUCUUUCUGAUUCCAGAGUUGUCGGUCAUUGUUCCCGUCUCACCAUUCUUGUAGAAGACAGAUGCUUUCUCCCUGUCUAGACCAGUCAUGCACAUCUCGAGCGUGUAGACAUUAUUGUUGUCACUGAAGGACUGAGCAGAAGCGGCGUAGACAUGCCAUUUCUUAGUCUCGUCAUCGUUACCCAUCAAGUAGGCGACGCUGUUCAAGCCGAGCUUAGUAAAAUGACCAUCGAGAACAGAGACUUCUUCAGAGAAGCUUCUGUGAGGAAAAGGCUGCCCUCCAGGGCAGAGGAAGGAGCCGCGAGUGUACUUAACAGAUUUCACACUCAGAGAGAGCUCACCGGCGAGCUCAAGAAGCGGCGGGAUGGAGAGGAGGAGCUUGGUGGUGCCGCAAGUCUUGAUGAUGACUUUGUAAGGGUAGACAAAGAAGCUUGACUCAGAGAGGACGUAAGAGUCCAAAUGAUCGUUGGAGAGAGAGGAAACGAUCUCGCAGGCAGCGGGAGUGAGUAUUUGGUCAAGCUGGGACCUGGUCAGAGCACGGAGACCAAGUCCCUUGGAGUCUUGGAAGAUGCUUGGCUCGAGGAAAGAGACCUCGAGGCGCUUCUCGUAGCCUUCGAAGCCGAUUGCGGAUAAGGCCAUUGUAGGAGGAGAGAACGAUUGGGUUGGGGAACCAAGCAGAAACGGAGCUUAGAAGAAAGUAAAAUUGUAAACUGGAAAAUAAGGAAAAGCGAUAACUAAUAUUAAGAGACUCGGUGCACGCUACAACUCAGGAUGGCCUCUUAGCGCACUGCAAAUAAAAUAAAAACAUUGUUAAGAAGCUUGAUAUAUUGUCAUCAAUGGAGAGAGUAGUUAAAUAAUGGGGAAGAAGAAGCUUUACGUUGGAGUAGACAGAAGAUUUGAAUUUCUUGAUUCCACCGUUGGGGCGAACGUCUUCAAUGCUGUAACCGAGGGGAGCUUCGUAAAAUAAUGAACUACUAGACGACUUUUUAUUACCACCUUUCGAUUCCAUCAUAAUCUCAUUCACGCUCUUCUGUCAUUACAAGACCAAACAAAACCAUAUGUGUUAGGUAAAGAGUAACACAGAGACUCAUCAAUGUUAUUACAAGACCAACCACAAAUGGUCAAAUAAAGAGGAACAGAGAUUCGAUGUUCAAAGUUGAGUUCUUUUUUAUUACAGAUCUCGAAUAAAACAUGAUACAUAUCAGUUAAUCAGAUGGCACAUUAUUGAAAAUGUUUCAUUAGAUCUACAACUAUUAUGAACCUCUAAGAUUACGGCUAGUCAUUAAAAUGUAAAACUAUGAAUUUUAGAAUCAAGACAUAACGAUUAUCAAUAUCAAUCUCAUACAAAAACCUAAGAUAACAUUUGUAGAUCAAUCAAAAACAUAGAUCAUACGUCAGAGAUACUUACAUAUAAUAUAUGAAUUUAAAUCAAGACCACGAAUUAAAAUAUCCCUCCUUUCCAGAUAUCAAAUCAAACCUGAAAGUCAAAACAGUAAUGAAUUCUUCGUUAAGAAUGCAAUUUCAUCAAAAGGAACGAUCAGAUGAAGAUAAAUUGAAGAGACGAAGAUAGAUCUAUAAAGCAAAAGAGAACAAAGCUUACCAGGUCAAGAUAAUUCAGGAAACCGAAAAAGACUUUUUGAACGAUAAAAACUGUUGGAGGAUUUCGAAGAGAUAAAAGAUAAAAUCCUAAUUUGAGAGAAACGCUUGUGAAUGAUUUGGUAAUAAUGAGGCAAUGAAGAAGCGUUUUCUGAAGAGACAAGGAGGACAGAGAUCGUCCUUUAUAUAAAGCCUGUCCUAAAGUUACGCGCCACGUGAUUUACGAUUUUACCCUUAUAACUUAAUAAGAAAGGUUUUCGCGUUAAAAAUGCGUUAACCUCUUCUUGAACCGUCUUAUUUUCAAACGAUUUACUAAAAUUAUUACUUCUAAACCCCUUUUUAAUAUGUGGAAACGGUAGGUGCUUGACUACUUAUUUGUUUUUUUUUUUUUUUUCCGUCUAGUUUUCAUUUUCAUUGAUAACAAAGGAAGAAUACAAGAGUGGAACAGUAGAGCCGGCGGAACACAUAACCAUCCCCAGAAACUUAACCCCAAUAGAACCAAAGGGGAGCAAGAACCCAAACAUACGGGUCACAUACAACAUCGAAAUAUAAAACGAAUCCUAAUGCUCCUUCAAAACACCCAGAACCAAACACUCAAAAGAUACAAGAAUAGUGACUUAACAAAGAUUAUGACUAGCCGGAGAACUUACAAUGAACUAAGCACAAGAACACGCAACGUAGAAGGCUUUUUCGUGAAGAGCAGAAACCUCAUCUGAACCGCACGUUCACAAUGACCACACCCGAACUAUAACGAUCUCAUCUGAACCACAAGUUCACGAUGACAACCAACGAACCACCACGCCAUACCAAAGCAGAAACCAUGAAAACAACAAUCAAAGGAAGACCCAACUCAAACGCACCUUCAUAUGGAAGCCUUCGCACCUCAGGCUCAUUAUACUGCUUCACAAAAGGAAGCCACCAAGGACAUACAAAGAGCAAAAGCAAUAGGGAAGUCACUUAUUAAAAGGGCGGAGGAGGGCCACUUCGAUACCUGGAGAUGAAAAGGUACCCUUGAACCAACUUCAUCACAAAGACCAAAACCUUCACCAGCUCAACACACA